AUGCGCCCGCACGCCACGGGCGUCGAGAAGGCGACCGUGCCGUACGGCUCCUGGGAUUCGCCUAUCAGCGCCGCCGCCGUCUCCUCCGCCGGGAAGACCGUCGAGGGGCUCGCCGUCGCCGGCGACGGCCGGCUCCUCUGGGUCGAGACGCGCCCCGAGGAAGGAGGACGCGCGGUUCUCGUGAAGGAAGGGGCGGGCGCAGACGGCAGAGGUUCGGAUGUGACGCCGCAGGAGUUCGCCGUGCGGUCCCUGGCGCAGGAGUACGGCGGUGGCGCGUUCGCCGUGCAGGGGGAUGUCGUCGUGUUCUCCAAUUACAGCGACCAGCGCCUGUACAAGCAAACCGUCGGAGAUAAUUCACCACUACCUCUGACACCGGAUUAUGGUGGAUCGGUUGUCCGCUAUGCGGACGGUGUCUUUGACCCUCACUUCAAUCGUUAUGUCACUGUAAUGGAAGAUCACCGCAAGAGUGGCUCAAAUCCCAUCACAACAGUUGCUGCUGUGAGCACAAGUGUUGAAGAUGUUAAUGAACCAACUGUGCUGCUCAGUGGGAAUGACUUCUAUGCCUUUCCACGCAUUGAUCCAACUGAAAAACGCAUGGCAUGGAUUGAAUGGAGUGACCCAAACAUGUCAUGGGAUAAAGCAGAACUAUGGGUUGGAUAUUUCUCCAGCAAAGGAGAGGUGGAAAAACGUAUUUGCAUUGCUGGUGGAGACCCAAUGAUAGUAGAAUCUCCUACUGAACCCAAGUGGUCUUCAAAAGGUGAACUGUUCUUCAUAACUGACCGACAGAGUGGAUUUUGGAAUAUUUAUAAAUGGGAUGAGCAGAGCAAUGUGGUCGUGCAAGUGUACUCACUUGAUGCUGAAUUCUCGAAGCCAAUGUGGGUUUUUGGUGUCAGCUCCUAUGCUUUCCUCGGAAAUGACGACCAGAGUCAGAAAAUAGUUUGCUGCUACAGGCAGAAUGGGAAGUCAUAUGUUGGGUUGCUGGACCAUGAUUCAGGGUCAUUUUCAAAAAUUGACCUUCCCUUCUCUGCUGUAACUAACAUAGUUUCUGCAGAUGGAUCUUUCUAUGUUGAAGGUGCAUCUGCUAGUCUUCCAGUAUCGAUAGCAAAGGUGACACUAGAUGAAAAGAGAACAAUGGCAACUGACUUUUCUAUAGUUUGGUCCUCCUCAGAGGACAUAAAGAAAUAUACACCCUACUUUAGUUUGCCUGAAUUUAUGGAGUUCCCAACCGUAAUCCCUGGCCAGCAUGCUUAUGCUUAUUUCUAUCCUCCAUACAACCAUACUUUCCAAGGUUCAUCAGAUGAGAAGCCUCCGUUAUUGGUCAGAACCCAUGGUGGACCUACAGAUGAAGCACGUGGGAUUCUUGAUCUUAGUGUGCAAUACUGGACGAGCCGAGGAUGGGCAUUCGUUGAUGUUAACUAUGGGGGAAGUGCAGGCUAUGGGAGGGAGUAUCGAGAGAGGCUUUUAGGGCAAUGGGGUGUUGUGGAUGUAAAUGAUUGCUGCAGCUGUGCUACAUUUCUGGUGGCAACUGGAAGAGUAGACGCGCAACGACUCUGUGUAACAGGGGAAUCUGCUGGUGGAUUCACAACUUUAGCUUGCCUUGCUUUUAGACAGACGUUCAAGGCUGGUUCUUCUUUAUACGGGAUUGCUGACUUAGCUUCAUUAAGGGCAGGCAUGCACAAGUUUGAGGCGUACUAUAUUGACAACCUUGUGGGGAAUAAGCAGGCUUACUUUGAGAGGUCGCCAAUAAACUUCGUUGAGAGAUUUACAUGUCCGGUCAUUUUGUUUCAAGGAUUGGAUGACCCGGUUGUAUCACCAGAUCAGGCAACAACGAUAUACAAGGCUAUAAAGGACAAAGGUCUGCCUGUUGCUUUGGUUGAGUAUGAAGGGGAACAACAUGGUUUCCGCAAGGCUGAGAACAUCAAGUUUACCUUGGAGCAGCAGAUGAUGUUCUUCGCAAGAUUGGUGGGGCACUUCAAGGUGGCAGAUAACAUUGCUCCAAUCAAGAUAGACAAUUUUGAUAAAGCCUUGUGA
rnacentral:rRNA from 1 species